UCUAACCAUGUGAUCAGAGGAGCUAGUCCAUCCGAAUAGUUACCGCGGCAGCAUGUCGCUCCGUUGUCUAGUUAUCUCCUGGUGGUUUUUCCUUGAUGUACUACCCAGCACUCCGAAAAUCCGUCUUUUCCCGCCGUCGGACACUGAGCUGGAACACAAUAGCAAGUCCGUUGUGGUCUGCCUGAUGACUGACUUCUUCCCCGAGGUGAUCAAGGUCGAGUGGAAAAUCGGUGACGUGAAGCAGGAUAAUAAAAUCCAGACGGAUUCGGUGAUGAAAAUGGAGACAAACACUUAUUCGCUCAUUAGCCGACUCGAGGUCACCAAGCGACAAUGGGAGUCGGAAACCAUUUCUUGCCACGCGAAACAUGAAAUGGAAGUCGCAGAAUUAUCGAUUACAAAGGAUUCCAAAUACGAUGUUCCCAUUGCUGGUAAGCCAGUGGGUCCCACCUGCCCGCCGAGCGUCCAGGAAUAUCAGGAGAACACGGAAGAAGGAAUACCAGCGAGCUCACUGCAGGUCGCGACGUUGACAUAUACCAUUCUGUUGAUGAAGAGUGUGUUAUACUGCGGCAUCAUCUCGUGCAUACUUUACAAGAUGGAAUACUGGGGCACGAAGAAGCCAUUGUAACUCGUAUUUUGUACAUUUUGUACAUUGUACAUUUUGAUAAAUGUCUUCCAUUUCAUUGUAAGCUUCAGUCUAUGUCCUCGUUGCGUACAAAGGGAUUGUACAUCCUGUUGCAAAAUAUGUGUUGGCUUGUAAGAGGCUAAUGAAGGCCGCGUGUUGAAGCUUAUAGCCAGGUGAUUACAGAGCAAAAUACAGAGAACGAGCAGCGUUAAUCUAAUGCCAGAUAGACUGUUGUGGGGGUGCCGGUUAGUUGUUCAUCAAAUCACUUUUAUUGCUGAAUCCUUUGCUAACAUUAAUUUGCCGCCUUUGAAAAAAAAAUCAUGUGAUUCUGCAUGUAUCAUUGUAUAAAUCGGACAAUAAACGAGUUAGUAAGA